UCUGAAGUUCAUACUGCCAUUUUCUACUGUCCGCUGCGAGAUCUUGGCUGGAAUGUAAAAGGAAUGUCCAAAAUAUUUAAAUGACAAACAGGAUGGGAACUGAUUAUGAGGAAUAUGCUGAAACAGACAUCUGGCAUAUUCCUAUAAUCAGUAUCAUGGCCUUUGUAUACAACAAAAUUGGUUGGAACUCCUAGACUAGAAAUAUAAUUCAAGAUUUAAAUAAGGCACUGGUCAUAGUUUUAGAAAGAGUGGCUAGCAUUCUGAAGGAAGAAAGAGAGAUGGGAAGACAUCAAAGAAUGGACAAGUCUGCCAUGAAAUGGUUUAUCCAUGGCUAAGUACAGAGAGGAAUAUAGAAGAGUUGUUGACAGAUCUUGUGUGGUGCCCCCAUGGUUCAACAGACUGAUUGAUAGAAAAUAAUACCAGGGUUAUGGUCCUUUCACUGUUGAGUUCCAGGAUGAAGAAUGAAAGACAGAGAGCAAUGUGAAGACAUCAAAGAAUGUGCAGGUCUGCCAUGAAAUGGUUUAUCCAGGACUAAGUACAGAGAGGAAUAUAGAAGGGAUGUUGACAGAUCUUGUGUGGUGCCCCCAUGGUUCAGCAGACUGAU